GCGAGCAAGCAAGUGCGAGUCUCGAUUUAGGACCGGUGAUUGACAGCCUCCGUCUCGCCACUGUUCUCCAUUUCAUCGAGCACGGCUACAAGGGAAUCGGAAGGAAAGGUCCAUGCGGCGGUGUAGCAAGGGCUGCCCAGCACACCAGAGAGUAGCACCUUAGACCAUGCCACUCAGCUACAGAAAUGACCUUGCCAUGCCAGGGACGAACACCUUACACUACACUACUCAGCAACAGGGCCAUACGGUGCAGAGAGGACCUGCCGACGCCGGGGAUUGUCACCUUACAGUAUGCCACACAAUUACAGAGCCAUGAAAAGACAGCUGCAAGAUGACACAAAGCAAGAUGGUUUCCCAAUGCGUAAAGAUUGAACACCAACCUCCGAGAUGAAUCAGAAGAAGCGCCUGUAUGGAUAGGACACGAGUGUAGUAAUAAAACCAUAUUGCCAAUAUAAA